AAAAAGGGUUGAGGAAGGAAGGAGUGCCUUGUGCCUACCUCAUUUGGCUUUCAUAAUUUCACCUGAGGUGCAAGUAUUUGCUCUGACAUUAUGAAAAUGAUUGGCCAUUUAGUGAGCAGGAAUUUCUGUAGCCACGAGCUAAUGAAGAGCUGUAAAUUCUCCUGCUUCAGGGGAUAUCCAAGGAAUAAUGCAGGAAUAUUGAUGUGGUCAUUUCCCAGCUGAGAGGGGAGAGGGAGGGAAGGAUCUGCCUUCCCCUGGAUCAGGCACAGGUUGCUGUGAAACCCAGCACUUCAUCACUCAAACCCAGAGACAGCUCCUGCCUCCAGAGGUUUCACCAACAUGCUGGAAUCUGCAGAGGAACUUCCUGCAUCAAGGCAAGUCCUUUCCCCAAGGGUGAAGCCCAAGAAAUUUCAGGAAUGCGAGUUCCCCCCAGGGGCUGACCCUGCCCCAUUUCCCAGGAAUUUAUUCUUACAGACCAGGUAUGACAUUGCCCAACCACCCACACCUCAUUCCCUCAGCGAACCUGAGCUCACUGGGGAUGAGUGAUAAGGGCUGAGGUGGGCAAGCAAUGGCAGGCCAGGGAGGGAUGGGCAGGCUCUGGUGUUUUGGCUGAAGGACUUUUGUUUCAAAUCACCCAGGGAGCUGCUAAGAAUAAAGAAAUUACCUUGGCCAUGACUUCAUCUGCUGCAUUUUACAGCAGGGAACACACCUGAUUUCAGCACCUACCAGAGCCCAGUGUGUUCCAAACCUGGAUUGGACUCUGUGACUGCAGCUCCCAAAGAACAACCAUCCCAUAACCUCUACCUUUAGCCUCCUCAAAGGAUAGGGGGGGAAAAGUCGGAUUUGUAGGAUAUUUGUGAGAAUGACUAUUCAUCUCCAUCUGCAUAUCACUCAGCACUGAAUAGGGCCAGGAGAUAACAAGUUCCUGCCUGCUGAGAGUUCUCUCAGGAGCCUGACAGGGAGCAGCUAUGGGGCACAAGUGUUAAGAAGGAAGGCAGGAGGUGACAGUGUGGCAGCAGACACCAUCAGGCUGCGAGAUGUAGUGGGAAGACAUGCUGUGGGAGGAGAACAAGGAAAAGGAGAUUUGCAGCUGAAGACAGCGAUGCCAAUGGUAGCAGGAGCAGCAUCACCUCCAUGAAAAGUGUCCAACACACCCAGCACUGGGGGUGAGGAGCCUGCAAACAACGAGGGUUUCACCACACCAGCACAGAGGAGAGGGACAGGGCUGGCCACGCCUGCCCCGGGCCACUGAAGGACUGAGCAGAAUGAUUACAGUGACACAGCUGGACAGGUAUUGGCGUGAAAAAAGCAGCAAAGAAGCAGGAAAUAUGCUCUGUUUUAUUCUUUCUUGGGAUAAAAGCCCUUUGCUGAUGUGACACCAGCUCUUGUUGUGCGCAAGAAAAUCGCACACCCAGCCUGGCCUGACUGGCUCCAGCCAUGGCAUUCUCAAUAAAAGAAGUUAUUUUAGCUUUUCUCAGAGGUGCCUGUGAGGUAGUGAAGGAGUUAUGGGGAUUAGGAACCCUUUUGUGCUCUCGCUCAUGUUGUGAUCUCCUUCCUUCCCAGCCCCCUCCGGCUGUUUUCCCAUUAUAAUGCACUAACUGAUUCUGGAGGUGCUCAGAUGUUCCCAGAGCCUCACCCUCGGUAAUUCCUGGUGCCUCCUUUCUUUCAUGUUCCCCGAAGGACACAGAAACAACAAGGCUUUAUCUGCCUGCUGUUAGAUCUCAGACUUCACAGCAGUCCCGCUCCCUUCAGCAGCUCCAGGGGUGUGGGUGACUUUCUGGGCAGCCACCAAGCCACAGCUUAACAAGACAGAGACUGGAUCCUCUCAUUCAAGCAUCUGCUCCCUGGGCAGCACUGCCUCACGCCCAUGGGCUCCAGAUUUGGAAUUUUGACUCCCCAAGCUGCAAAAAUUGAGUUUGGAAUGCACACAUUCCCCAUCCCUCAGAGAG